UACGUAGGGUGCGAGCGUUGUCCGGAAUUAUUGGGCGUAAAGAGCUUGUAGGCGGUCUGUCGCGUCUGCUGUGAAAAUCCGGGGCUCAACCCCGGACUUGCAGUGGGUACGGGCAGACUAGAGUGUGGUAGGGGAGACUGGAAUUCCUGGUGUAGCGGUGAAAUGCGCAGAUAUCCGGAGGAACACCGAUGGCGAAGGCAGGUCUCUGGGCCACUACUGACGCUGAGAAGCGAAAGCAUGGGGAGCGAACAGG
rnacentral:rRNA from 1 species